UGUUGGUAUUAUUGUGUAAUAGCCUGCAUUCCCUGCAGGCGAACGUUAAUCGUAAUACUUCUAAAUCCCGAGGCGUUUAAAAGGAACCGAAGACAACUGUAGGAGAAGUUUAAAAGCGAGCGUAUGGGACUGUUACCGCGACUGACCAACGCCUAACAACUUUGUGUGGAGCUCACUUUUUAUUCGGUUGAACCCUGACCACGCCCACCUGAGGACCAUCACACAUGAACAAUGCACAUGGAAUUCCUUCCCAUACUCCUUUGCCAUUCUAAUUUGCACUCCAAAAGCUCCUGCAGUUGAUUGGUUAGGUUUGGAUCCAAGAAGCUGAUGGAUCAGACAGAGGAUUCACUUUAUUAACACCACAUAGGGGAGACUGAACUCACCUUCGUAAGAACUGAAGUCUGAAAUGUCAGGACAUACUGAAACCUCACAACUGCUCAUGUCAGUGAAGGAAGAGAUCAAAGAAGAAGAAUUUGAUGAUUUCCUGCAGGAGUAUCUUUCUGCAAUUCCGAAAGUGGAAGAAAAGCCUGGACUGGAAGCUGACUGUAAGACUGAAAUAUACACAUCACCAAUCUUGACCCACAAAGAAGAUGAGUAUUCACCAGUGGAAAUUAAACAGGAGGAAACAUCUGAUUUGAGAGAAUAUGGUCACUAUGACUCUACUCC